CCUUAUACGAAGAUACUUACGAUGAGUGUCCACACAGAUUGAUGGUUUAGAUUUAGUUAAAGCCAGAGCUUUAAUUAAUAACGUAAGUUAUUGAUUAAAGCUUUUUGCUUUAUGCUCUUUAACAAUUUGGAAAGCUGACUGAUUGAUUACUUACGAGUAAUUCAAUCAAAUUUAAAAGUUCUCAGUGUUUAUCUUUCAUUAGAUAAACACAACAAACACAUUCAAGUGUCUUGUAUUCGAAUCAAUGUUUACAUUGAUUCACAAUUGAGUCCGGCAAACAGUUAUCAGGAAUUAACCCUUCUUGAUGACAACCAAAAACCUUGGUUAGUUGCCAUACGCUUAUUUGUCUUCACUUUUUAAAGUGAAAGCAAAUAGAGACCCUUUCGGGUUGUAU
rnacentral:misc_RNA from 1 species